UGUCGGUGGUGGGGCUUUUACAUUGUUAAUAAUCCUUUAUCAAAAUAAAUGAACAUUUUAAUAUUUUGAAAAAUCACAAGGACUCCUUACAUUUGGAUGGGAAAGCACUAAAAUUGCAAUGUACACAGUUAUUUAUUAUUUUAGUAAUUACUAAACAAUGCAGUGCAAGCCCCCAAAUUCUUCUGUUCCUGUUACCCUUAUGAUAUUAGGAGUGGAGAUGUAUAAUGUUCUUUUCCUUUUGUAAUAGCUCAUGAGAAGUGUGUAUGACUUAGAUCCCUUGUAGCCUAUGCAACCAACUCUGGCCAGAUGCGGAGAGCUCUGUCCAAGCUUCUUUGUUUUAUUGUUUUUAACAGUACCAAAAAGUUUAUUUGAAAAGUGCGGGGUGAAUGGGUAUGGAAGAAACCAGCUUUGCAGAGCAAACUUGGGCUGAACAAAGGAAAAAGAGGGUAAAAGCAAAAAUAAAAUUACACUCUUGGUCUGAGAAACGUGCAUGGGCUAUCUUGGGAACUUGUGCUAGCAGCUUUCCGUGAUGGCCAGUCUUCUUUUAUGCCAUCCACAUCUUGUGGGAGCUCCCGAGAAGUUCUACAUGUGGAUUCCCCCCAUUGCUGUGAGAUCUUGUAAUAGAACGGUCAGCUCAUUUUCCCCAGUCAGCGUUGCCAAGCCCUAGCUCCUACAUUGUUUCCUCCCUGAUAAACCUAAAAGCUUCUUUGACUUAAAGGACAAUUCCAACAGGAAAGUUGAGCAACUAUUCAGAUGAUGAUGGAAUUUAUGUGUAAAUGUACUUACUUUCAGCUGCAUUGAGUAGUUUUAGAAUACUAGUAUAUUCAACUAUUCAUUCAAAAGAUAUUUGUGGUGCACCUACUAUGCACUGUGCUAAGUGCCAGGUGUAUGUGACACCGGAGGCCAAGUGCCAAGGGCUGUGACUCCAUUGGAGGGAAAGGGAGGCAGUGUGGCAGAACGCAGGAGUAGCAAGUAUUGUGUUUAAAUCCUGUCUUUCCAGCUUUCUGAAUUUGCUAAGGUAGUUAACCCCUAAGCCUAAUGCAAACCAAAAUUAAUUUUUAUUUUACAGGGCUGCUGUGGAGAAUAAUGUACAAACCGCUGAAUGCAGCGGUUGGUACAAAGCCAGCCCUCCAGCUCCCUGUCCUCAAGGCUCCCCCUCUCCAUGCUCAUCAUUGGCACAUAGCUCCUGUCCUCCCCAUCAGGGGAUGGGCAUAGUGACAGGUGAUAAGUGUGACAGAAGGAAUAGACAAUGUAUAUAACAAAACAUAUGAGGGUCUGCAGGACUGGGAGUUAAAAGUAUGCUAUGUAAUAUUGAUUUAACAUAACAUCAGCUAUAUUUCUGUUUGCAAGAAGCUUAUAUUGUAAGUUUGGGUUAGUAUUUUAUGAAGGUUUCAGGCUGGUAAGAACAGCUUAUAAAAGGACCCCCAAGACUUUAUUAUGAGCAGGGAUAUCCUUGUAGUAACAUUUUAUUUAACCCCCAUACCACCUCUACAGCAUAGGCCACAUCAGAAAGAGACCUACUUUUCUGACCAUUCGUUACACUUCUUCCUCUUGUCCUUCUUAAGCUUCAUUAUACAACCAGUAGAGACUGUUGCUAAUUAUUCUGGAGAUAAAUACACAAAUCAAGAGGAAUCCAGGGAAAAGUGAAAUAGAAGAAAAAGAGCAGAUCUAGAAGAAAAUACAGCGCAACCAUUUCCUCUCUCUGUAGAACCUAAGACCUGCUUUGUGAUGGCACAGCCCAGACCAGUCAGGAUCUUCUUGCGCAUGCCAAUUUCUAAGGUGGCCUGGCCAAACUAUUCUCUUGUGUGGUUUAGACUGUUCCAGAGGUUUAUAAAAAUAAUAUUUUAAACCAGCUUCAUUUUCUUCUUCUGGGGCGAACUGAGUUGUAGCAUUGCUCUGCAGGUGGGACUGUCCUGGCUUGCCAGGAUUUUCCACCAGAGGGCCCUGUCUGUCCCCAAGACUUUGAUUUUGAAACAGGUUUUACAAAACUGGAACAUCUCAGUCUGUUGCAAGAUCUUGUUCCAUUGAAAGCUACUUUGAUUUUAACAGAACCAUUGGUCACAAGCCUUGUUCAUCUGCAAUGCUGUGGAGAGAAAAAUAAGAUCAUACACAUUCAUAGAAGGAGAACCUGAAAACUGAGCCCUAAGGAGAGGAGCAAGCAGUUCAUGUCUUCAUUAAGUGAGAAGACAUGCCCCGGAGAGACAGGGGCAGGGCAGUCCUGAGCCCAAAGGCCACCGUAAGAAUUCCAGGGUACUGACUCUAUCCCAAGUUUUCUCUUCUGGAAUGCCUAAAGAGCUCUUGCUUCUGACUUUUUGUUUUUGUUUUUGUUUACAGGGCAUUAGGACACUAGGAAUUUGACUGAGGGAGCUCAUCGGGGCAGAAGGGGGAGUGUGCAGAACAAGGGUGUUCAGUUCACCUACUGGCUCAGUGGCUACUGCAGUAACCGCCAAGAUGGUGACGUAAACCCUUUUCCUCUCAGAGUGCCGGAGAUUUUUCUUUAGGAGGAGACUCCCAGAUGGAGUUACCCUUGUAUGGAGGACCCUAGAGGAUGCUAUAUAUUGCAGAAAACCCACUACAGUGCUGGCCUUAAAGAAGAAAUUGAAAAUGCAUGUGCAGCAAUCUCGAUGGACCAAGGUUACCCCUGCUGUAGUUUGCCAUCCUAGUAAAGGUCUGAAAGCUGAUGACCGCUGCUUUGAGCACCUCUUGUAAUUGUAGAGCCAAAAGUAAUUUAUGUUAAUCUCAUGAUGUCUCAAUAAAUUUAGU